GGCAAUCUGGCUGGGUCCCUAACUGACUUCCCAAACUCCGCCACCUCUCCUCUAAAGCGCCCUGUCUCUACGAGGGAGGAAAGACAGGCAGCUUCAGCAAGGGUCCCCGGGGCCCCGGGCUCCCCCAGCUAUCUAAUCGGCUUCACCCCUGCACUCCCCCAGGGACAGAGCCUCACAGGGCCUCUCUUUAGCUGGGGGAAGGAGACAGAACGCUCCUUUUGAAUACCUAAGACUUACCCACCCUCUUUUCCUCCAGCUUUCCUGCUGCUGGGUCACUGUUAGUCACUCACCAUCCAGGCCCAUUUCCUGAUAAUCCCCCAGCCCCCUGGGUGCAAGGCCCUUCUUAUUCCCUCCAACACAGACACACACACACCAAGAGCGGGCUGGUCUCUAACUCCCAAACCGUAAUCUGG
rnacentral:lncRNA from 1 species